rnacentral:piRNA from 1 species
UNGGUGUGAUAGAGAACCCAUCAGUGGCGAGG